UAGCAAUAAGCAUUUAUUGCGUUAUAAUUUUUCGACUUAUUAUUAAAUUCAACAAAUUAAUAUUCUGUUCGCUUUAAAGGUUGAUUCCAAAAUAAAAAAUGGGCAAUUUAUGUUCGAAACAAUUGGCUACUCAAGUUAAGGAUUCGGAAUCCAUUGGGCUGAAGAACGAAAAACCAGAAAUUGCCAUCGAACUUCACAAUGAUUCCAAAGAGGUAAGAACAUGUGAUAAACGAAUUGUAAUUUGAGUUGUAAGAUUCUAGCUCUGAGAUGAGAGGACGCCAGCAUUGUCGAGCCCCUACAGACCAACAAAUAAAAAAAGCCAAAUAAUCAUAAUUCGAAACGUAACCUUUCACCAUCCAAUGAGUGCACGGGGACCGACAAUCAUGAGAGUCCUCCAUCUCAGUCAAAGUUAGGGGUAUCAUUCAAGAUCCGGUAUGUUAUGAAUUAUUAAUGUCCAGGGUCGUAGACCAUCAUGGCGGCUUUUCCUGUUUUAGCCUCGAAACCGGACCG